UGAACGCUGGCGGCGUGCCUAAUACAUGCAAGUCGAGCGAACAGAUGAGGAGCUUGCUCCUCUGACGUUAGCGGCGGACGGGUGAGUAACACGUGGAUAACCUACCUAUAAGACUGGGAUAACUUCGGGAAACCGGAGCUAAUACCGGAUAAUAUAUUGAACCGCAUGGUUCACUAGUGAAAGACGGUUUUGCUGUCACUUAUAGAUGGAUCCGCGCCGCAUUAGCUAGUUGGUAAGGUAACGGCUUACCAAGGCAACGAUGCGUAGCCGACCUGAGAGGGUGAUCGGCCACACUGGAACUGAGACACGGUCCAGACUCCUACGGGAGGCAGCAGUAGGGAAUCUUCCGCAAUGGGCGAAAGCCUGACGGAGCAACGCCGCGUGAGUGAUGAAGGUCUUCGGAUCGUAAAACUCUGUUAUUAGGGAAGAACAAAUGUGUAAGUAACUAUGCACGUCUUGACGGUACCUAAUCAGAAAGCCACGGCUAACUACGUG
rnacentral:rRNA from 1 species